CAGUCGCCGCGGGAACACCGAGGGUGCAAGCGUUAAUCGGAAUUACUGGGCGUAAAGCGCGCGUAGGUGGUUUGUUAAGUUGGAUGUGAAAUCCCCGGGCUCAACCUGGGAACUGCAUCCAAAACUGGCAAGCUAGAGUAUGGUAGAUGGUGGUGGAAUUUCCUGUGUAGCGGUGAAAUGCGUAGAUAUAGGAAGGAACACCAGUGGCGAAGGCGACCACCUGGACUGAUACUGACACUGAGGUGCGAAAGCGUGGGGAGCAAACAGUAUUAGAUACCCGUGUAGUCCCUGUCUCUUAUAC
rnacentral:rRNA from 1 species